CCGGACAUAGCUCAGAUGGUUAGAGCGGCUGACUGUAGAUGUUAUCAUUAGUCAUCAGCAGGUCCCUGGUUCGACUCCGGGUGUCCGGA
rnacentral:tRNA from 1 species